ACCCAGCUGACGAGUCCCAAAUAGGACAAAACGCGUGUCUUGGAU
rfam:Schistosoma margrebowiei strain Zambia genome assembly, scaffold: SMRZ_scaffold0004223